AAUAACAGUUAUUACUGAUUUUUUUUUUUCUGUCACACAUGAAAAGCCAUAGUACAAUGCCUGGUCCCUGGUGAGGAAAAUGAUCGAUAAAUAAUUCAUUAAUAUUAGCUGGUAGUACACAUAGACUCAAGCUGUCACAUCUCCCCAGCGAUACCAGACAUCAGUAUUAUCAUUACUGAAAUGCUCUCUGGUCUUCCUUCUUUCUUCCUCUCCUCCUCUUUCAACUUCCCUCCUUCCUUCCUCCUUUUUAACUACUUGCCACCUUCAAGGUUAUUCAAGGAUCAAGAUGUUAGAGGAGGGUCAGGUUGUCAUAGCGUGUCUGUCUAAUUCUCUCCAGGAGUGGUCACAAAUAGAGCCUUCCAAAUGUGAGGGAGGACAAUGGUAACAUGAAUUGACUGAGUACAUAUCAAGUCUUACACUGUAUACUUCACAUGCACUAACUCUCCUACUCUUCACAACAAGCAUGCAAGGUAUGUCUACAAUUAUAAUGGAGUUGCACACAUUUGGCUUAUUCAACCUAGACAAAAUCAACUGUGCAUACUUGACCAAGAGAGAGGGAUGGAGGAAGAGGACCUAGAGGAUGAAUUUAAUAUAAUUUGCACAAGUGAUUUUGCUCCCAAUUCCACUCAGUGAACUUAGUUAAUUCUUUUAAACAGUAACAUUCAUUGGCUGUUAAGUAAAACAGGAGAGAACACAAUAAAUUUAUGAUAUUUUGAGAAGCUAUGCCAGUUCUCAAGCAUUCAGAGAAACAAGCUUGGCUUUUAUGAGGUAAUUAUGAUUUAGUGUUUUCUCUCGCCCUGUUGAGUCUGUGGGCUGCCUGUAAAAUGGAUCUGGAAUGAAUGUCAAAGUCAGGAUUUACAGUCAAACAUUUUCAACAUAUAAAGUACAGGAGAAGUUUAUUGUUUUGUUGGGGUUUUUUUUUUUCUAAGCAAUAUUUCCUUCUGCAUUUGUGUGCUGUUAGGUUUUGUAGGAUUUCUCCCCUCCCAUUUGAAAUGGCUGCAGUAUCAUCAAAAAGUGAUGGUCUUUGCAAGCAAUCGUGACAAAGCAUGUCAAUUUAAAUCAUUUCUUUCUCUUCCUCUCACUCUUUUUUCCUCUUACCUUCAACAGGAAACUAUCAUUUCAAUGUUUCCACCCUUUCAGAAAUGAGCAGGAAUUGACUAAGCUUGAUGAGUUUGAGGUAUAAGAGAUCUUCAUGCUCCUUCCUUCUACCAUCUUUUUCCCCUGUUCUCUCUUUGAAAUAAAAACUGUGUUUGGAUGUUACCUUCAGGGAGAGCAGACUCUGGGAUCAUCAGGCUCCAAGGCUUUCCGCCCUUACUCUCCCGUUAACAUGCUGGGAUUGACACCACCUUUGCAAAAAUUAUGACGGUGAGAAAAAUCUGACAUAGGAAAAUUAUGUCAGUUAAAGAGAUCUGACCUGACCAACUCCAUCUUGCUCAUAACCUCCAAGCUGCCCUUGUUCAUUUUGGGGCAUAGGCUGAACUAACUUUGGGAAGAAUUUCAUUUAUAGCUUAACUUUGAAACAACUAUGAUAACAGCCCUUUCCCUGAAAUGAAC
rnacentral:lncRNA from 1 species